UUAAGCGACUAAGCGUACACGGUGGAUGCCCUGGCAGUCAGAGGCGAUGAAGGACGUGCUAAUCUGCGAUAAGCGUCGGUAAGGUGAUAUGAACCGUUAUAACCGGCGAUUUCCGAAUGGGGAAACCCAGUGUGUUUCGACACACUAUCAUUAACUGAAUCCAUAGGUUAAUGAGGCGAACCGGGGGAACUGAAACAUCUAAGUACCCCGAGGAAAAGAAAUCAACCGAGAUUCCCCCAGUAGCGGCGAGCGAACGGGGAGGAGCCCAGAGCCUGAAUCAGUGUGUGUGUUAGUGGAAGCGUCUGGAAAGGCGCGCGAUACAGGGUGACAGCCCCGUACACAAAAAUGCACAUACUGUGAGCUCGAUGAGUAGGGCGGGACACGUGGUAUCCUGUCUGAAUAUGGGGGGACCAUCCUCCAAGGCUAAAUACUCCUGACUGACCGAUAGUGAACCAGUACCGUGAGGGAAAGGCGAAAAGAACCCCGGCGAGGGGAGUGAAAAAGACCUGAAACCGUGUACGUACAAGCAGUGGGAGCACAGAGCAAUCUGUGUGACUGCGUACCUUUUGUAUAAUGGGUCAGCGACUUAUAUUCUGUAGCAAGGUUAACCGAAUAGGGGAGCCGAAGGGAAACCGAGUCUUAACUGGGCGUUAAGUUGCAGGGUAUAGACCCGAAACCCGGUGAUCUAGCCAAUGGGCAGGUUGAAGGUUGGGUAACACUAACUGGAGGACCGAACCGACUAAUGUUGAAAAAUUAGCGGAUGACUUGUGGCUGGGGGUGAAAGGCCAAUCAAACCGGGAGAUCGCUGGUUCUCCCCGAAAGCUAUUUAGGUAGCGCCUCGUGAAUUCAUCUCCGGGGGUAGAGCACUGUUUCGGCAAGGGGGUCAUCCCGACUUACCAACCCGAUGCAAACUGCGAAUACCGGAGAAUGUUAUCACGGGAGACACACGGCGGGUGCUAACGUCCGUCGUGAAGAGGGAAACAACCCAGACCGCCAGCUAAGGUCCCAAAGUCAUGGUUAAGUGGGAAACGAUGUGGGAAGGCCCAGACAGCCAGGAUGUUGGCUUAGAAGCGGCCAUCAUUUAAAGAAAGCGUAAUAGCUCACUGGUCGAGUCGGCCUGCGCGGAAGAUGUAACGGGGCUAAACCAUGCACCGAAGCUGCGGCAGCGACGCUUAUGCGUUGUUGGGUAGGGGAGCGUUCUGUAAGCCUGUGAAGGUGUACUGUGAGGUAUGCUGGAGGUAUCAGAAGUGCGAAUGCUGACAUAAGUAACGAUAAAGCGGGUGAAAAGCCCGCUCGCCGGAAGACCAAGGGUUCCUGUCCAACGUUAAUCGGGGCAGGGUGAGUCGACCCCUAAGGCGAGGCCGAAAGGCGUAGUCGAUGGGGAAACAGGUUAAUAUUCCUGUACUUGGUGUUACUGCGAAGGGGGGACGGAGAAGGCUAUGUUGGCCGGGCGACGGUUGUCCCGGUUUAAGCGUGUAGGCUGGUUUUCCAGGCAAAUCCGGAAAAUCAAGGCUAAGGCGUGAUGACGAGGCACUACGGUGCUGAAGCAACAAAUGCCCUGCUUCCAGGAAAAGCCUCUAAGCAUCAGGUAACAUCAAAUCGUACCCCAAACCGACACAGGUGGUCAGGUAGAGAAUACCAAGGCGCUUGAGAGAACUCGGGUGAAGGAACUAGGCAAAAUGGUGCCGUAACUUCGGGAGAAGGCACGCUGAUAUGUAGGUGAAGUCCCUCGCGGAUGGAGCUGAAAUCAGUCGAAGAUACCAGCUGGCUGCAACUGUUUAUUAAAAACACAGCACUGUGCAAACACGAAAGUGGACGUAUACGGUGUGACGCCUGCCCGGUGCCGGAAGGUUAAUUGAUGGGGUUAGCGCAAGCGAAGCUCUUGAUCGAAGCCCCGGUAAACGGCGGCCGUAACUAUAACGGUCCUAAGGUAGCGAAAUUCCUUGUCGGGUAAGUUCCGACCUGCACGAAUGGCGUAAUGAUGGCCAGGCUGUCUCCACCCGAGACUCAGUGAAAUUGAACUCGCUGUGAAGAUGCAGUGUACCCGCGGCAAGACGGAAAGACCCCGUGAACCUUUACUAUAGCUUGACACUGAACAUUGAGCCUUGAUGUGUAGGAUAGGUGGGAGGCUUUGAAGUGUGGACGCCAGUCUGCAUGGAGCCGACCUUGAAAUACCACCCUUUAAUGUUUGAUGUUCUAACGUGGACCCGUAAUCCGGGUUGCGGACAGUGUCUGGUGGGUAGUUUGACUGGGGCGGUCUCCUCCUAAAGAGUAACGGAGGAGCACGAAGGUUGGCUAAUCCUGGUCGGACAUCAGGAGGUUAGUGCAAUGGCAUAAGCCAGCUUGACUGCGAGCGUGACGGCGCGAGCAGGUGCGAAAGCAGGUCAUAGUGAUCCGGUGGUUCUGAAUGGAAGGGCCAUCGCUCAACGGAUAAAAGGUACUCCGGGGAUAACAGGCUGAUACCGCCCAAGAGUUCAUAUCGACGGCGGUGUUUGGCACCUCGAUGUCGGCUCAUCACAUCCUGGGGCUGAAGUAGGUCCCAAGGGUAUGGCUGUUCGCCAUUUAAAGUGGUACGCGAGCUGGGUUUAGAACGUCGUGAGACAGUUCGGUCCCUAUCUGCCGUGGGCGCUGGAGAAUUGAGGGGGGCUGCUCCUAGUACGAGAGGACCGGAGUGGACGCAUCACUGGUGUUCGGGUUGUCAUGCCAAUGGCACUGCCCGGUAGCUAAAUGCGGAAGAGAUAAGUGCUGAAAGCAUCUAAGCACGAAACUUGCCCCGAGAUGAGUUCUCCCUGACUCCUUGAGAGUCCUGAAGGAACGUUGAAGACGACGACGUUGAUAGGCCGGGUGUGUAAGCGCAGCGAUGCGUUGAGCUAACCGGUACUAAUGAACCGUGAGGCUUAACCUU
rnacentral:rRNA from 1 species